rnacentral:tRNA from 1 species
AGUUUAUGAACUUGUAUAAGUAUAUAUUUUGAAAAUAUAAAAAAGAGUUGAAUCUCUAUUAACUU